AAAACGACUCUCGACAACGGAUAUCUCGGCUCUCGCAUCGAUGAAGAACGUAGCGAAAUGCGAUACUUGGUGUGAAUUGCAGAAUCCCGUGAACCAUCGAGUCUUUGAACGCAAGUUGCGCCCCAAGCCGUUAGGCGGAGGGCACGUCUGCCUGGGUGUCACAC
rnacentral:rRNA from 1 species